rnacentral:tRNA from 1 species
AGGGUUGUGGCUCAGUGAUAGAGCGCUUACCUAGCAUGUGAGGUCCUGGGUUCAAUUCUCAGCACCACAU